rnacentral:rRNA from 1 species
CCUGGUGACCAUAGCGAGUAGGAACCACCUGAUCCCAUCCCGAACUCAGAAGUGAAACUGCUCCGCGCCGAUGCUAGUGUGAGGUUUCCUCAUGUGAAAGUAGGUCAUUGCCAGGC